GGAGGAGGGUGGGUCCAGCAGGCAGGCUUUGACCAAAAAGGAAACGGGUCGUGGAGAAACUCCUGGAAGGAGAGAUCUGAUGCUCUCUUCCUCCACCGAUUUCUAACUAUGACCAUUGUACGGUGGCCCAGAGGACUGACUGCCUCCACAUGUGGAAGAAGAAGCUUUUCCCUCGAACGAGGAGAAACAGAUUAUCAUUAAAGAGGAGCCGCAGGACUGGAGUCUAGACCAGGAAGACCAAGAAGAUCAGCCCCCCUGGGUUAAAGAGGAACAGGAGGAAGUCGGGAC